GGUGGCUCAGUGGUAGAGUGCUUGCCUUGCAUGCAUGAGACCCUGGGUUCGAUUCCUCAGCACCA
rfam:Dipodomys ordii contig_62143, whole genome shotgun sequence.